UAGUGAUCAGAAGUGAGAAUGUUGACAUGAGUAGCGACAAACAGGGUGAGAGACCCUGUCGCCGAAAGUCCAAGGGUUCCUACUUAAAGCUAAUCUGAGCAGGGUAAGCCGGCCCCUAAGGCGAGGCCGAAAGGCGUAGUCGAUGGGAACCAGGUUAAUAUUCCUGGGCCAGGAGAUGGUGACGGAUCCCAGAGGUAGUUCAUCCUUAUUGGAUUGAAUGGGCUGCUGAGGGGUUCCUGGAAAUAGCCCUCCAUGAGACCGUACCCUAAACCGACACAGGUGGACUGGUAGAGAAUACCAAGGCGCUUGAGAGAACCACAUUUAAGGAACUCGGCAAAAUACCUCCGUAAGUUCGCGAGAAGGAGGCCCCGUUCGUAGGCAACUAUGGGCGGGGGGCACAAACCAGGGGGUGGCGACUGUUUACUAAAAACACAGGGCUCUGCGAAGUCGCAAGACGACGUAUAGGGUCUGACGCCUGCCCGGUGCCGGAAGGUUAAAAGGAGAUGUGCAAGCAUUGAAUUGAAGCCCCGGUAAACGGCGGCCGUAACAAUAACGGUCCUAAGGUAGCGAAAUUCCUUGUCGGGUAAGUUCCGACCUGCACGAAUGGCGUAACGACUUCCCCGCUGUCUCAAAUGUGGACUCAGCGAAAUUGAAUUGUCUGUGAAGAUGCAGACUUCCCGCGGUUAGACGGAAAGACCCCAUGCACCUUUACUAUAGCUUCGCACUGGCAUCAGGAUUGUGAUGUGCAGGAUAGGCGGUAGGCUUUGAAAUCGGGACGCCAGUUCCGAUGGAGCCAUCCUUGAGAUACCGCCCUUCGCACUCUUGAUGUCUAACCGCGGUCCGUUAUCCGGAUCCGGGACCCUGCGUGGUGGGUAGUUUGACUGGGGCGGUCGCCUCCUAAAGAGUAACGGAGGCGCGCGAAGGUUGGCUCAGAGCGGUCGGAAAUCGCUCGUUGAGUGCAAUGGCAGAAGCCAGCCUGACUGCAAGACUGACAAGUCGAGUAGAGUCGAAAGACGGCCAUAGUGAUCCGGUGGUCCCGAGUGGAAGGGCCAUCGCUCAACGGAUAAAAGGUACGCUGGGGAUAACAGGCUGAUGAUGCCCAAGAGUCCAUAUCGACGGCAUCGUUUGGCACCUCGAUGUCGGCUCAUCUCAUCCUGGGGCUGGAGCAGGUCCCAAGGGUACGGCUGUUCGCCGUUUAAAGAGGUACGUGAGCUGGGUUUAGAACGUCGUGAGACAGUUCGGUCCCUAUCUGCCGUGGGUGUAGGAUACUUGAGAGGAGUUGCCCCUAGUACGAGAGGACCGGGGUGAACGUUCCACUGGUGGACCAGUUGUCGUGCCAACGGCAGUGCUGGGUAGCUAUGAACGGACAGGAUAAACGCUGAAGGCAUCUAAGCGUGAAGCCCCCCUCAAAACCAGGUAUCCCUUGAGAGCCGUGGAAGACCACCACGUCGAUAGGCCGGAGAUGUAAGCGCAGCAAUGCGUUCAGUUGACCGGUACUAAUGGCUU
rnacentral:rRNA from 1 species